rnacentral:rRNA from 1 species
CCUACGGGUGGCAGCAGUGGGGAAUAUUGGUCAAUGGACGAAAGUCUGAACCAGCCACGUAGCGUGAAGGAUGACGGCCCUAUGGGUGGUAAACUUCUUUUAUAUGGGAAUAAAAUGUUCCACGUGUGGGAUUUUGUAUGGACCAUAUGAAUAAGAAUAGGCUAACUCCGUGCCAGCAGCCUCGGUAAUACGGAGGAUCCGAGCGUUAUCCGGAUUUAAUGGGUGUAAAGGGAGCGUAGGGGGGUUGUAAAGUCAGUUGUGAAAGUUUGCGGCUUAACCGUAAAAUUGCAGUUGAAACUGGCAGUCUUGAGUACAGUAGAGGUGGGCGGAAUUCGUGGUGUAGCGGUGAAAUGCUUAGAUAUCACGAAGAACUCCGAUGGCGAAGGCAGUUCACUGGACUGCAACUGACACUGAGGCUCGAAAGUGUGGGGAUCAAACAGGAUUAGAUACCCUGGUAGUC